rnacentral:rRNA from 1 species
CCUUGUAAGCCCUGUUACCUCUACUCCUAGGGGGAGGCAGCCAGUGGGGAAUUUUGCACAAUGGGCGAAAGCCUGAUGCAGGGACGCCGCGUGAGGGAUGACGGCCUUCGGGUUGUAAACCUCUUUCAGUAGGGAAGAAGCCCUCUUUGGGGGUGACGGUACUUGCAGAAGAAGCGCCGGCUAACUACGUGCCAGCAGCCGCGGUAAUACGUAGGGCGCAAGCGUUCUCCGGAAUUAUUGGGCGUAAAGAGCUCGUAGGCGGUUUGUCGCGUCUGCUGUGAAAGACCGGGGCUCAACUCCGGUUCUGCAGUGGGUACGGGCAGACUAGAGUGCAGUAGGGGAGACUGGAAUUCCUGGUGUAGCGGUGAAAUGCGCAGAUAUCAGGAGGAACACCGAUGGCGAAGGCAGGUCUCUGGGCUGUAACUGACGCUGAGGAGCGAAAGCAUGGGGAGCGAACAGGAUUAGAUACCCUGGUAGUCCAUGCCGUAAACGUUGGGCACUAGGUGUGGGGGACAUUCCACGUUUUCCGCGCCGUAGCUAACGCAUUAAGUGCCCCGCCUGGGGAGUACGGCCGCAAGGCUAAAACUCAAAGGAAUUGACGGGGGCCCGCACAAGCGGCGGAGCAUGCGGAUUAAUUUGAUGCAACGCGAAGAACCUUACCAAGGCUUGACAUGGACCGGAAAGACCCUGAAACCAGG